UACGUAGGGUCCGAGCGUUGUCCGGAAUUAUUGGGCGUAAAGAGCUCGUAGGCGGUUUGUCGCGUCUGCUGUGAAAUCCCGAGGCUCAACCUCGGGCCUGCAGUGGGUACGGGCAGACUUGAGUGCGGUAGGGGAGAAUGGAAUUCCUGGUGUAGCGGUGGAAUGCGCAGAUAUCAGGAGGAACACCGAUGGCGAAGGCAGUUCUCUGGGCCGUAACUGACGCUGAGGAGCGAAAGCGUGGGGAGCAAACAGG
rnacentral:rRNA from 1 species